rnacentral:rRNA from 1 species
CCUACGGGAGACAGCAGUGGGGAAUAUUGGACAAUGGGGGAAACCCUGAUCCAGCGACGCCGCGUGAGUGAAGAAGUAUUUCGGUACGUAAAGCUCUAUCAGCAGGAAAGAAAAUGACGGUACCUGACUAAGAAGCCCGGCUAACUACGGUCCAGCAGCCGGGGUAAUUCGUAGGGGGCAAGCGUUAUCCGGAUUUUCUGGGGGUAAAGGGGGCGUAGGCGGCAGCGCAAGUCUGGGGUGAAAUGCCGGGGCCCAACCCCGGAACUGCUCUGGAAACUGUGAAGCUGGAGUGCAGGAGAGGUAAGCGGGAUUCCUGGUGUAGCGGUGAAAUGCGUAGAUAUCAGGAGGAACACCGGCGGCGAAGGCGGCUUACUGGACUGUAACUGACGUUGAGGCUCGAAGGCGUGGGGAGCAAACAGGAUUAGAUACCCCAGUAGUC